GGUUAAGCGACUAAGCGUACACGGUGGAUGCCCUGGCAGUCAGAGGCGAUGAAGGACGUGCUAAUCUGCGAUAAGCGUCGGUAAGGUGAUAUGAACCGUUAUAACCGGCGAUUUCCGAAUGGGGAAACCCAGUGUGAUUCGUCACACUAUCAUUAACUGAAUCCAUAGGUUAAUGAGGCGAACCGGGGGAACUGAAACAUCUAAGUACCCCGAGGAAAAGAAAUCAACCGAGAUUCCCCCAGUAGCGGCGAGCGAACGGGGAGGAGCCCAGAGCCUGAAUCAGUGUGUGUGUUAGUGGAAGCGUCUGGAAAGGCGCGCGAUACAGGGUGACAGCCCCGUACACAAAAAUGCACAUGCUGUGAGCUCGAUGAGUAGGGCGGGACACGUGGUAUCCUGUCUGAAUAUGGGGGGACCAUCCUCCAAGGCUAAAUACUCCUGACUGACCGAUAGUGAACCAGUACCGUGAGGGAAAGGCGAAAAGAACCCCGGCGAGGGGAGUGAAAAAGAACCUGAAACCGUGUACGUACAAGCAGUGGGAGCCUCUUAAUGGGGUGACUGCGUACCUUUUGUAUAAUGGGUCAGCGACUUAUAUUCUGUAGCAAGGUUAACCGAAUAGGGGAGCCGAAGGGAAACCGAGUCUUAACUGGGCGUUAAGUUGCAGGGUAUAGACCCGAAACUCGGUGAUCUAGCCAUGGGCAGGUUGAAGGUUGGGUAACACUAACUGGAGGACCGAACCGACUAAUGUUGAAAAAUUAGCGGAUGACUUGUGGCUGGGGGUGAAAGGCCAAUCAAACCGGGAGAUAGCUGGUUCUCCCCGAAAGCUAUUUAGGUAGCGCCUCGUGAAUUCAUCUCCGGGGGUAGAGCACUGUUUCGGCAAGGGGGUCAUCCCGACUUACCAACCCGAUGCAAACUGCGAAUACCGGAGAAUGUUAUCACGGGAGACACACGGCGGGUGCUAACGUCCGUCGUGAAGAGGGAAACAACCCAGACCGCCAGCUAAGGUCCCAAAGUCAUGGUUAAGUGGGAAACGAUGUGGGAAGGCCCAGACAGCCAGGAUGUUGGCUUAGAAGCAGCCAUCAUUUAAAGAAAGCGUAAUAGCUCACUGGUCGAGUCGGCCUGCGCGGAAGAUGUAACGGGGCUAAACCAUGCACCGAAGCUGCGGCAGCGACACUAUGUGUUGUUGGGUAGGGGAGCGUUCUGUAAGCCUGUGAAGGUGGCCUGUGAGGGUUGCUGGAGGUAUCAGAAGUGCGAAUGCUGACAUAAGUAACGAUAAAGCGGGUGAAAAGCCCGCUCGCCGGAAGACCAAGGGUUCCUGUCCAACGUUAAUCGGGGCAGGGUGAGUCGACCCCUAAGGCGAGGCCGAAAGGCGUAGUCGAUGGGAAACAGGUUAAUAUUCCUGUACUUGGUGUUACUGCGAAGGGGGGACGGAGAAGGCUAUGUUGGCCGGGCGACGGUUGUCCCGGUUUAAGCGUGUAGGCUGGUUUUCCAGGCAAAUCCGGAAAACCAAGGCUGAGGCGUGAUGACGAGGCACUACGGUGCUGAAGUGACAAAUGCCCUGCUUCCAGGAAAAGCCUCUAAGCAUCAGGUAACAUCAAAUCGUACCCCAAACCGACACAGGUGGUCAGGUAGAGAAUACCAAGGCGCUUGAGAGAACUCGGGUGAAGGAACUAGGCAAAAUGGUGCCGUAACUUCGGGAGAAGGCACGCUGAUAUGUAGGUGAAGCGACUUGCUCGUGGAGCUGAAAUCAGUCGAAGAUACCAGCUGGCUGCAACUGUUUAUUAAAAACACAGCACUGUGCAAACACGAAAGUGGACGUAUACGGUGUGACGCCUGCCCGGUGCCGGAAGGUUAAUUGAUGGGGUUAGCGGUAACGCGAAGCUCUUGAUCGAAGCCCCGGUAAACGGCGGCCGUAACUAUAACGGUCCUAAGGUAGCGAAAUUCCUUGUCGGGUAAGUUCCGACCUGCACGAAUGGCGUAAUGAUGGCCAGGCUGUCUCCACCCGAGACUCAGUGAAAUUGAACUCGCUGUGAAGAUGCAGUGUACCCGCGGCAAGACGGAAAGACCCCGUGAACCUUUACUAUAGCUUGACACUGAACAUUGAGCCUUGAUGUGUAGGAUAGGUGGGAGGCUUUGAAGUGUGGACGCCAGUCUGCAUGGAGCCGACCUUGAAAUACCACCCUUUAAUGUUUGAUGUUCUAACGUUGGCCCCUAAUCGGGGUUGCGGACAGUGUCUGGUGGGUAGUUUGACUGGGGCGGUCUCCUCCUAAAGAGUAACGGAGGAGCACGAAGGUUGGCUAAUCCUGGUCGGACAUCAGGAGGUUAGUGCAAUGGCAUAAGCCAGCUUGACUGCGAGCGUGACGGCGCGAGCAGGUGCGAAAGCAGGUCAUAGUGAUCCGGUGGUUCUGAAUGGAAGGGCCAUCGCUCAACGGAUAAAAGGUACUCCGGGGAUAACAGGCUGAUACCGCCCAAGAGUUCAUAUCGACGGCGGUGUUUGGCACCUCGAUGUCGGCUCAUCACAUCCUGGGGCUGAAGUAGGUCCCAAGGGUAUGGCUGUUCGCCAUUUAAAGUGGUACGCGAGCUGGGUUUAGAACGUCGUGAGACAGUUCGGUCCCUAUCUGCCGUGGGCGCUGGAGAACUGAGGGGGGCUGCUCCUAGUACGAGAGGACCGGAGUGGACGCAUCACUGGUGUUCGGGUUGUCAUGCCAAUGGCACUGCCCGGUAGCUAAAUGCGGAAGAGAUAAGUGCUGAAAGCAUCUAAGCACGAAACUUGCCCCGAGAUGAGUUCUCCCUGAGACUUAGAGUCUCCUGAAGGAACGUUGAAGACGACGACGUUGAUAGGCCGGGUGUGUAAGCGCAGCGAUGCGUUGAGCUAACCGGUACUAAUGAACCGUGAGGCUUAACCUU
rnacentral:rRNA from 1 species